rnacentral:rRNA from 1 species
AGUGAACGCUGGCGGUAGGCCUAACACAUGCAAGUCGAACGGCAGCACAGUAAGAGCUUGCUCUUACGGGUGGCGAGUGGCGGACGGGUGAGGAAUACAUCGGAAUCUACUUUUUCGUGGGGGAUAACGUAGGGAAACUUACGCUAAUACCGCAUACGACCUACGGGUGAAAGCAGGGGAUCUUCGGACCUUGCGCGGUUGAAUGAGCCGAUGGCGGAUUAGCUAGUUGGCGGGGUAAAGGCCCACCAAGGCGACGAUCCGUAGCUGGUCUGAGAGGAUGGUCAGCCACACUGGAACUGAGACACGGUCCAGAGUCCUACGGGAGGCAGCAGUGGGGAAUAUUGGACCAUGGGCGCAAGCCUGAUCCAGCCAUACCGCGUGGGUGAAGAAGGCCGUCGGGUUGUAAAGCCCUUUUGUUGGGAAAGAAAAGCAGCAGGUUAAUACCCCGCUGUUCUGACGGUACCCAAAGAAUAAGCACCGGCUAACUUCGUG